rnacentral:lncRNA from 1 species
GGGAGCCCAGGCAGAGGAGGCGCCCAGAGCGAGCGAGGGCUGUGAGGACUGCCAGCACGCUGUCACCUCUCACUCAUAUAGAUUGCCAAUCUAUUUGUGAACCAGGUUUGCUGGAGUUUGGAUUUACUACUGAGUCAUAUUUGGAGCAUGCUGGAAUCUUACAACUGAGAUUACCGAGUCAGAAACUAAUCCUUCCCACACAUACCGUACUUAUGGUGAAGGGAUUUCAGAUAUAGGAUGCUAUUCUCAGACGGUAAUUUUGGUUACUGAUUAAGUGUACAUUUCUAAAUAGUAGACAUUUUUUAAAGUAAUAAUAAAAGUGCAAACUUACCUAUUGGCUUUCAAGAAAUCAUCUGUUGCUUAAACUUCUGGUAUAAAGAUGAGCUAAAAACGAAUCACCAAACAUCA